GCUUGCUUCAGUAGCGCAUAUACUAAAGUUGGAACAAGAGAGAUUGGCAUGGCCUCUGUGCAAGAAUGACGUGCAAAUUUGUGAAGUGUUCCGUAUGUUU
rnacentral:snRNA from 1 species